GUGCUUCCGGCCGGUGCUUCCCCGGGAGUCACUGCGCGUACCCGCUCUCCUGCUGUGAGGACGCGACCGCUGCUGCCGGAGCAACGAGAAUGCGGGUUAGACACUCCGAGGAGCCCGGCGGCCCUGUGGCUCAGGUGAAGCCGGUAGAAAUCCUCGAGGAGCUUUGGAGACCUGUGGCUUAGGUGGAGCCGGCGUCGCCUGGCCCCCGAGCAUGGGCGAGUUUCCUCGUAGCUGACGGCGCCUCAGGGGCUGACUCAACGACUCCCCAGCUGUUUAAAUUCUCUAGGGUGUGAAUAAGCCCGGACUCAGCCUUAAGUCUCCAAAGCUGCCAAAACAGAAUACCUUUGAAGAGCUGACUCCUGUAUCAUCAUCCAUACCCCAUUCUACUCUGUUUUUCAAAAUGUAGUUUGAACCAACUGCAUCAAAUCCACCUGAGGCAGUGACUGAAAAUGCAAACCCCAGGGCCCGGGCCCGGCAUGCCUCCAGGAGCCCAAGCUUUACUCCCCCAUUAGAGUUUGAAAUUAAUCCCUAUACAGCAAGGCAGAGGCGAACCUGGAAAGAGGCUCAGUUCUCCAGGAAAUUUAAUUCCUGAGCCUUUGGUAGUAUUUUGACCUGGACCAGCAAAGCUGACAUCGGGGACAGCACCCCAGAAGAACUGUGCUUGUUGAUACCGAAGGCUUAGACAGUAGAGACAGCAAUCCUGCUAACUCGGGCGCAUUGAAUCGUGGCCCAACAGAUUUACGCCAUUAUAAGUAUGAGCUGAUCUGUGUGAAGCAAACAAGGUUAUUGCUCAGAAUCUCACACCCCCCCAAAUCAUAAAUCUGAAGAAUACCUUGGUUUCUCCACUUGAACCCUAGUUUAUAUGCCAGCUGGGAAAAGAAUAAGUAUUAAAGAAGUCAUACGGUGAUCCAGAUUGAAGGAAGUUUGGGCCAUGUUUUUGUUAAGUGUAGCUUUUUCCUUCAAAGACACCAUUAAAUUGCUCUUGUAGAAGAAGCCAACAGAGGAGGGGUCCAUGUGUAUGGACAGAACUGGAGUGAUCCAUGCUUCAACGGCAGUCCCAUCAACCUUGCUUGAAUGUGGAGGCUGCAUAGAUCACAAGCUCCGCAGACUGCAAGACAGCUUUGCUCCAAAGAAGCUGACCACUGUAUGGUUCCCCAGCAUAUCAAAGCUAACCUGAAUUGUUUAAGUUGUGUUUCAGUUGAUGAAUAGAACUUCACGGAACCACACAACAACAAUGGAGGUGACCUGCUGUUUUACAUUCUCUAUUAUACCCUGCUAAGGAAGUUAUUUUGCAGUGACAAAGCUUCUUUUCUAGUGUUCUGACAAAUACUAGGAUUUUGAUGUUGGGAAUUCUUCCCUCACAUCAAAUGUUGGUUCUAAAUCCACAGAACUAUUUGAGAAACGAGAUAGAAAAUUAUGGUAAAUUUAAAUUACCAAUAUGCUUUCUAUGCUUUCUAUAAUGACUUUCAACAAGCUGGCACUAUUGCUCAGAAACAUAAUUUCCUCCAGAAGUCCCCUCCAUCCAAAAUAUAUUGUUGUCCUGUUACAGAAAUAAAUAAUAUUUUCCAAAUCCUGGUAAAAAUCUCUCUUCUCCCCUAUAUUUU